rnacentral:lncRNA from 1 species
CCGCAUUGGCCGAUUCAUUGAAUAAACAAAUUACAAAUAGAUGAUCAUACAUUUUCAUCUUUUGUGGUAUACAUACAUGCAUUCAAUCUUAGUUUAUCAAUUGAUAACAAUAAACAACCAAUUUCGUGAAAAAUAAUAAAAAACCAUGACGGCAUCAGGGUGAUUUUGUAGCUAACAAAUCAUAUAAUACAGUCCUAGCAUUAAAGAAUCAUGGUGAUGCUGGGUUCAACUUGGUUCAAUUAGUAGCUGCAGCAGCAAGAAUUGCUUUUCCUGUCAACCUCGUUGCUAGAGGCCGUCUUUUUGCUUCCUGUUCAAGACAACACCCCUCUAAAGCUUAGGCUUCAACAGGAAGUCUCUGAAUCCUGAACUAUGGAUUCCCACAUAGCCUCUACAAGUGAAAGAUAGGCCAUAUAUAAGUAAUUACCGGACAGAGAAUGCCAAGAACAAUUCAUCACCUAGAACAACAAUGUCAGUCACAUGAAAUCUGAUCCUCUAUAAAGAAUUCUCCUAACUCAUUAACCAUUAGUCUAUAUUACUAAAGAAAAUCAAAAGCAAAGACACUCAAAACGACCAACUACACAAAUCGUAUUGUUAAAAGUAAGGGUCUUUCCAUAAGGAAUCUGCAGUAAACUAAUAAAAGUAUGUUAAGUAAAUUGAAUUGUAAAUUUCUAAUGAAUGCUAAUGAGAUAUAGAUAUAUGAAAAAGAUAACCAAAGUUAUAUCGUAACUACCUUUAAAUCUAUCAAAAAUUUCAUUAUAUACCACGUUAGUCGUCGUGUUGUUUGUCUCACCAAUGUCACCAUUCUCGUCUGCAUAAAUAUCUUAAUUUCCAAAAAAAAUAGCUUAAGUCUAUAAAGCAAAAAAGAUUUAUUACAUCACAUUCAUGAAACUCAAACUUUAGAACUAUUUCCAUCUGGAGGGUAAAAUUGAACUAUUUCCAUUUGAAGUACGAAUAGGAAAAACGGCAAAAACUACCUAAACCAUAGCACAAUUUUUCGUUUUACAACUCAAUCCAUAUUGGAAGCUAUUACGUCCACUUCUAUUGUGCUACCAUAGUAUUGAUCUCGACUCUUGAAGAGCUUAGUCUAAGGACCACUUAUAUAAUUGUGCUACCAUAGUGUUGAUCUUGACUCUUGAGGAGCUUAGUCUAAGGAAUGAUAUCUAAACAUAUUAUCAGCGUAUAUUUAAGUCCAAAUUACCAACCAUAGCCUUUUUUAGACAUAUACAUCUAUUACAAUAUACCCAACAUAUAUAUAUGUAGAUAAAAUACAAGGAAAACAUACUGCAAUUCAAUUUUAAAUAUAUAUGUAUAUAUAGACAUAUAUAAAAGUGAGUUUGCUUUUACUUCGCUUCUCAAUUCACAGAAAAAAUAUAACCAGAUUGACAAACCACAUUAAAUAUUUGAUUUUUAAGAUUCUUGGAUAAAAAGUGCUUUGCUUUUAAUUAGGCUAAGCUACUGGUGUGCUCAUAGUGAGAUUGAGUGACCAAAUAUAUUCAUUCAUCUUUAAAUUCGCUUGUCAAACAGAAACACACAACAGAAUCCAACAACACAAAAGAAACAGACUUCAAAGGUAUUAAGGAUAGAAUAAAUUAUACCUCAUCGUCAGCCUCUUUUUCAUCCUCCCCAUCCUCUUCAAUUACAGCCAGCCAUCACAGGUUACAUUCUACAUAUGAAUGUGUUGUGUCAUUUGCUAUAUCGGGAGCAUCUCUAACUAACAUGUCAGAGCAAGAUAAAAGCUCAAAGAAUCCUCACUUGAAGACAUAUCAGCCAACAAUUUUAAAUACAUGAAAUGCAUAUUCUUUUCUAUUACAUUACUUCCCAAGCACCCUAUAUCUGGGAGUAAUCAAGGAUAAGAAUAUAAAAUAAAAGGAGGAAGGAAAAACCACAUUAAGAAAAUAAGACACCAAACUCCUCGUGCAUCCAUCUAUCAAAUACAAAUGACAAUUCUUACAUCUUUUCUUCCAAUUUUCUCCAACUUACCUAAACCACAGAAGCCUUGAAUCUUCACCCCCCACAAUUUAAAAGAAGGGCCAGGGAGAACAGUUGAUCAGAGCCAUCAUGUUAUUCUGGUGAAAAAUUAAAUAUUGUCUAUAUACAAUAAAAAGUCAUUUAAAUAUCUUAUGCUUUACCCAUUCACAUUAGAACUACAAAACACAGACAAUAUCUGGGUAAAUUCGCAGAGAAUAAAAACACAAGAUUCAUUAUGGUGCAUAAUACACUUUUAUGGUCAGGGAAAGCAUUCCAAUGUGCUGAUGCAUGGAAAAUAAAAAAGAUGGCAAAGAAAUCUCAAAAAUCAUAACUGGAAGCAAAUAAUAAGGUCCUAACAAAGUAAUUACCCAUUUAUUCAAAACAGACUAUUGCCUGAAAAGCAUUUGGAUGGAGGUGAGAAAGAAAGUAGGAAAAGUUGCCCUCUAGUUAAAGUUAGGCCAUAAAUUAUAAUCAGCCCUUAUUCUUAAUCAAACAAUUAAAUGCAAAAGUUUUCAUGGCACAUAGUAUUUUGCUAUUCAAUACUAACCAAAUCAUACACCACAAAUACCAGAAUAUGGAAAUCUAGCAUAUACCCAGAUGCCCCUUCCAGGAUAGAUCUUGGCACCACUAAAAUGGUUUCGUCCUAAUCAAUACUAACUAAAUCAUACACCACAAAUACCAGAUAUGUAAAUCUAGCAAAUCCCAUAUUUGCAAUGCAAUAACAACACGGACUCAUGGAUCAAAUUGGAGAAUCAAACACAACCCAAAAGUAUUCAAAGUUAUAAUGGCCGGGAGAAAAAAAAAACCUUUUGCUCGAUGAGUAAAAAUCUUGAAAAACAGAGGGUGAAAUCUAGAGCAGUCAGAAGUGGCUUGUUAACACCUACAUAUGUAGGCAGCGGGAAAGAAGUGGCUAUGCUUAUCAACAGAAAAUAAAGCAAAAUCAAAAUUCAAAUAAAUUAGCAAAUCAUGAUUUAGGAAUUUUAUCGAACAGUUGGUGAGCAAUAUCAUAUUACUGGGUUUUCUGGUAAUUCUCAUAAAGACUUGACAUAGAUUUGACUGACAACAACAUGAAGAAAUCAGGUGAAAUAAAAGGAAAAACCUCAUCUCAGCAAGGGAAAAAUAGCACAAGUUAAGAAGUUACUGAAUCAAUUAAAAUCAAACUAAUCAUAAACGAAUCAAAAUUUCAAAUUUUCCGACGCAGAUUCAACCAAACAAAAAUGGAAAAUGAGAAAUUUAACAUCGCUCUCACCAUUGUCGUGUUCAUUCGCUCUUUCAAUCACUGCCACCAAAAAUUAAUUAAUUAAGAAAUAAAAAUAAAUAACAAUAUUAUUUAUUCCUAACCUCUUUGGGGAAAUGGAUACCUGAAAUACUAAUUUUGGCAAUUUUGGAAAAAGAGAUUUCGAAAGUGAAAUUCUUCGCUUGCACAAUCACAAUUCCUGCAAAUCCAGAAUGUAAGAAUCAUAACAAUACCAAUAAAAAGAAGAAGAAACACAACCAAAAAAUAGUAGCAACCUGUAAAACUCGAAGCAUUAGAAUAUUUAUCAUUUUGAACUAAUGAAUUUAUAGAUAAAAAUCUAGGUUACAAAGUUUCCAUGUUUAAACUUAUACCUAAAAAUUGGCUGAUUGUUAAUUGAAAGGUAAAUCAUAUAAUUGUAUUUCCAAAAUUUGUUAUUUCUAAA